AGGUGUGUACCUAUUGUGGAAAACUAAGGCAUACAGUAUAUACAUGCUAUAAGAAGCAUGGAUUUCCUCCUGGAUACAAAUUUAAGAAUUUUGGUUCUUCUGCUAAUCAAGUUACUGUUGAAGGUCAGUCAUCUGAAAAUACAAAUAAUACACCAAUCCAAGUUAAUUCACCAAGUAUUCAAAGUGUGCCUUUUACUCAAGAGCAGAUU
rnacentral:misc_RNA from 1 species